rnacentral:rRNA from 1 species
CGCCAUCUCAAAUGUAUUCCGUGCGCUUAGAGAGCCAAGAGAAUCACGAAUUAUAUCCGUGAACUGGGAAGUAUAAGCAGCACCCCAACGCCCAGGGGGAUUUGAUAUUUUUCCACAGGCCGCUGAGGCGUGUGAGCCUGGGGAGCUAACAACAUUAGAUAUCUUGGUCCUCCACUUUAACACACGAUGAUAAUGAGGUGUGGUAGUACUGUCCCUCCUCCGUGUUGCAGGUAAAUCAUAUAAGUAUGUUACUUGGGGAGUACGAGCGAAAGGUUGAAACUCUAGUGAUUGGACUGGGCCCCGCACACGCAGCGGAUUAUGUGGUUUAAUUAGCCGCAACGCGAUGAACCUUACCAGGAUUUGACAUCCUAAUAACGAAGCAGAGAUGCAUUAGGUGCCCUUCGGGGAAAGUAGAGACAGGUGGUGCAUGGUUGUCGUCAGCUUGUGUCGUGAGAUGUGGGGUUAAGUCCCGCAACGAGCGCAACCCAUAUUGUUAGUUGUUAUCCAAGAGCAGUAUAGUGAGACUGCCGUUGACAAAACGGAGGAAGGCGGGGACGACGUCAAAUCAUCAUGCCCUUUAUGUCCUGGGUUACACACGUAAUACAAUGGUUGUCAACAGAGGGAAGCAAUCCCGAGAGGUGGAGCAAAUCCCUAAAAACGGUCUCAGUUCGGAUUGCAGGCUGCAACUCGCCUGCAUGAAGCUGGAAUUGCUGGUAAUCGCGGAUCAGCAUGCCGCGGUGAAUACGUUCCCGGGCAUGGUACACACCGCCCGUCCCCCCAUGAGAGUCGGGAACACCGGAAGUCCGUAUUCUAACCGCAAGGAGGCAGUGACUCAAGGUGAGUCCGGUAACUGGGGUGAAGUCGUAACAAGGUA